GGGGGUGUAGCUCAGCUGGGAGAGCGCCUGCUUUGCAAGCAGGAUGUCGCAGGUUCAAGCCCUGUCACCUCCACCA
rnacentral:tRNA from 1 species